GUGAAUCAUCGAAUUUUUGAACGCAAAUUGCACUCUCCGCGGGGAGUAUGCGUGUGUCAGGUUCGGCCUAUAUAAAUCGACAUCGUUGCUGUUUCGCGGUGGCGUUCGUCGUAAAUUGGGUCAUCUUACAUCCUUUUGUUUUAUGCGACUUAAAAUUUUCUUUUGGUUCCAUGAACGUUUCUCAGAUCUAUUUCUUUACACGUUUAAGGUAUCGAUUUUUCCUAGACGUGACCAUCAUAUCGGAUCGCGCCCAUAAUCUUUCCUUAACUGUC
rnacentral:misc_RNA from 1 species